rnacentral:rRNA from 1 species
UACGGAGGGUGCAAGCGUUAAUCGGAAUUACUGGGCGUAAAGCGCGCGUAGGCGGUUUGUUAAGUCAGAUGUGAAAGCCCAGGGCUCAACCUUGGAACUGCAUCUGAUACUGGCAGGCUAGAGUACAGGAGAGGGAAGUGGAAUUUCAGGUGUAGCGGUGAAAUGCGUAGAGAUCUGAAGGAACACCAGUGGCGAAGGCGACUUCCUGGACUGAUACUGACGCUGAGGUGCGAAAGCGUGGGGAGCAAACAGG